UACAGAGGGUGCAAGCGUUAAUCGGAGUUACUGGGCGUAAAGGGCGCGUAGGCGGUUUAAUGGGUGUGAUGUGAAAGCCCCGAGCUUAACUUGGGAAGUGCAUCGCAAACUGUUGAGCUGGAGUACAAGAGAGGGUGGCGGAAUUUCCGGUGUAGCGGUGAAAUGCGUAGAGAUCGGAAGGAACGUCAAUGGCGAAGGCAGCCACCUGGCUUGAUACUGACGCUGAGGCGCGAAAGCGUGGGGAGCGAAC
rnacentral:rRNA from 1 species